rnacentral:lncRNA from 1 species
AUGGUCCAGAAUGACUAAGAUGAUGGCUCUGUCUGCAAGAAUGGAAGCAAGGAGAGCCGUUAGAAGACUAUUCCAUUAAAUAAAGAGGUGAGAAAGUAGUAGUUUAAUUUUUUCAAUAUAAUUGAUAUUGAGCAUCUUUUUUCCCCCACUAUAUGUUAUUAUAAGAUAUUGAAUACUGUUCCCUGUACCACUACAGUAGUAGGUCCUUGUUGAUU